rnacentral:misc_RNA from 1 species
GAUGAAGAACGUAGCGAAACGCGAUACGUAAUGUGAAUUGCAGAAUUCAGUGAAUCAUCGAAUCUUUGAACGCACAUUGCACCCGCUGGUAUUCCGGCGGGCAUGCCUGUUCGAGCGUCAUUUCAACCCUCAAGCCCCCGGGUUUGGUGUUGGGGAUCGGCUCUGCCCUUCUGGGCGGUGCCGCCCCCGAAAUACAUUGGCGGUCUCGCUGCAGCCUCCAUUGCGUAGUAGCUAACACCUCGCAACUGGAACGCGGCGCGGCCAUGCCGUAAAACCCCAACUUCUGAAUGUUGACCUCGGAUCAGGUAGGAAUACCCGCUGAACUUAAGCAUAUCAAUAAGCGGAGGA